UACGUAGGGGGCGAGCGUUGUCCGGAAUCAUUGGGGCGUAAAGAGCGUGUAGGUGGGCUGGAAGGUCUGGUGUGAAAGCCCGGGGCUCAACCCCGGAGGGUCACUGGAAACCAACAGUCUUGAGUCUGGAAGAGGAGAGUGGAAUUCCUGGUGUAGCGGUGGGAAAUGCGCAGAUAUCAGGAGGAACACCAAUGGCGAAGGCAGCUCUCUGGUAACAUGACUG
rnacentral:rRNA from 1 species